AAUCCAUGGUGAGGGCAUCGCCUAAGCAAAUCCUUAUAUCUCUCUCAUGCCUCAUAUAGUUUUUCACUCUCAAGUUGGGCGAAAUUAAAGAUUUUAAUACACAUCUU